ACUCCUACGGGAGGCAGCAGUGGGGAAUAUUGCACAAUGGGCGCAAGCCUGAUGCAGCCAUGCCGCGUGUGUGAAGAAGGCCUUCGGGUUGUAAAGCACUUUCAGUCGUGAGGAAGGUGGUAGUGUUAAUAGCACUAUCAUUUGACGUUAGCGACAGAAGAAGCACCGGCUAACUCCGUGCCAGCAGCCGCGGUAAUACGGAGGGUGCGAGCGUUAAUCGGAAUUACUGGGCGUAAAGCGCAUGCAGGUGGUUUGUUAAGUCAGAUGUGAAAGCCCGGGGCUCAACCUCGGAAUAGCAUUUGAAACUGGCAGACUAGAGUACUGUAGAGGGGGGUAGAAUUUCAGGUGUAGCGGUGAAAUGCGUAGAGAUCUGAAGGAAUACCGGUGGCGAAGGCGGCCCCCUGGACAGAUACUGACACUCAGAUGCGAAAGCGUGGGGAGCAAACAGGAUUAGAUACCCUGGUA
rnacentral:rRNA from 1 species